rnacentral:rRNA from 1 species
AACGAACGCUGGCGGCAUGCCUAACACAUGCAAGUCGAACGAAGCCUUCGGGCUUAGUGGCGCACGGGUGCGUAACGCGUGGGAAUCUGCCCUUUGGUUCGGAAUAACAGUUGGAAACGACUGCUAAUACCGGAUGAUGACGAAAGUCCAAAGAUUUAUCGCCAGAGGAUGAGCCCGCGUAGGAUUAGCUAGUUGGUGUGGUAAAGGCGCACCAAGGCGACGAUCCUUAGCUGGUCUGAGAGGAUGAUCAGCCACACUGGGACUGAGACACGGCCCAGACUCCUACGGGAGGCAGCAGUGGGGAAUAUUGGACAAUGGGCGAAAGCCUGAUCCAGCAAUGCCGCGUGAGUGAUGAAGGCCCUAGGGUUGUAAAGCUCUUUUACCCGGGAUGAUAAUGACAGUACCGGGAGAAUAAGCCCCGGCUAACUCCGUGCCAGCCGCCGCGGUAAAAC